rnacentral:rRNA from 1 species
CAGGCCUAACACAUGCAAGUCGAGCGGGCGUAGCAAUACGUCAGCGGCAGACGGGUGAGUAACGCGUGGGAACGUACCUUUUGGUUCGGAACAACACAGGGAAACUUGUGCUAAUACCGGAUAAGCCCUUACGGGGAAAGAUUUAUCGCCGAAAGAUCGGCCCGCGUCUGAUUAGCUAGUUGGUGAGGUAACGGCUCACCAAGGCGACGAUCAGUAGCUGGUCUGAGAGGAUGAUCAGCCACAUUGGGACUGAGACACGGCCCAAACUCCUACGGGAGGCAGCAGUGGGGAAUAUUGGACAAUGGGCGCAAGCCUGAUCCAGCCAUGCCGCGUGAGUGAUGAAGGCCCUAGGGUUGUAAAGCUCUUUUGUGCGGGAAGAUAAUGACGGUACCGCAAGAAUAAGCCCCGGCUAACUUCGUGCCAGCAGCCGCGGUAAUACA